GUCCACGCUGUAAACGAUGAUUACUAGAUGUUGGAGGGGGAACCCUUCGGUAUCGAAGCUAACGCGAUAAGUAAUCCGCCUGGGAAGUACGGCCGCAAGGUUGAAACUCAAAGAAAUUGACGGGGGCCCGCACAAGCGGUGGAGCAUGUGGUUUAAUUCGAUGCAACGCGAAGAACCUUACCUACCCUUGACAUCCUAGGAAUCCUGUAGAGAUAUGGGAGUGCCGAAAGGAACCUGGAGACAGGUGCUGCAUGGCUGUCGU
rnacentral:rRNA from 1 species